ensembl:lncRNA
CUGCUACAUGUUAAGCAAACCUUUUCAUUCAUCUUUGACUUUCCUCCAUUCUCCUUAGUGACUCUUGCUAGUGGGUGAGCAGUAAAAUCCCGCGGAGUGGAGUUUCCGAUGUGGACUGUGAUAUAUAUACUGUCAAGGAGGCAUGAAUGCAAGCCCAGACCCCAGCUAGCAAGCAACCACGCACGCGAGCCAAAUUUCCCAGCUACUCCGUGCCAUUCACCUGCUGCGCCUUGGCUGCUUUUGACCCCAAACCCCUAAAGGCAGAGGAGCCAGGUCUCCGCACAAAGCCUGCUUGCUGCAAAUACAGGUAAGUUUCUCCAAGUCUUUUGGCGCCGGCCCCUUCCCCACCCUCUGCGCAGCGAACCGCGACGCGCGUUCGGUGACCAGUCCUGGAACGUGACUUGGCGGCGUCGAGAGGGUACAGCUCCCCUUACCGAGGGGGGGGGGGGCAGGUCCCAGGCGAGCCGCGGCCCGGCCAGCUUUCCGGGCUGGGGAGGUCACCGACCCCGGGCGGCGGCCAGGCCAGCCGAGGGCGGCGGGAAAGUGACGCGAAGCUGGUGGGGCGGGGUGGCUAGCGCGGCCCCCCGGGAGGCGGGAGCGCCAAAGGAGCCGACAGCGAUCGCAGCUGCCAAGUGGCAGGUCGGGCGAGGCAGGGGACGAGUUCGGGGCACCGCCUGGGUGCCCACCUGCCGCCAGGGCGCACGGAGGGCGCGGGGCUGGACCUGGGCCGCGUGUGCCCGCCCUGGGGCUCGCCGUCCAGCCCCUCUCCGCCCCCGGGAGGGACAAAGGGAGGGCAGACGGCCGGGCCCGCCCCCAGCCCCAGCCGCGGCUGCCAGUGAGAGACUGGAGGCACCACCCCGGAGCGGAGAAACCAGUUUGGCCGGUCCCGGGGAGCGGAGGGAAAAGGGCGGCCGCCGAGGACUGGCGCUCGGACGCGGGGCGGGGGAAGGCGGGGAGCCAUUGGCGAGAGGCGACAGCCGGAGGAGCCGCCGCCAACUGGACACGCUUCCCGGGGCCCCGGGCCAGCCCCGUGCGCCAUGAAGCGCUAGCGCGGCGGCCAGGGCUGGGGCCGGGCGGUGGCGGCGACAACGGCCAGGUGCGCAGCGAGCGCGCGGAGGGGCGCGCACCCGACGGAUGUCCCAGCAGGGGCCGGCGAGCGCCAGAUUGCACCACCCGGACCUCCAUUUCCAAUCCGUCUCUCCGAUCUGCUAUAUCUACCUCCACGAGAUCUCGAGUUCACCUGGUCAGCUCCGUUGCCAUCCCCUUAUUCAAGCCGCCACCAUCGCCACCCUCCUGGAUGCCCCUCCCCCCAGGACCCCCCUCACUGAUGUCUCCAUUCCCAGCCCAGAGCAGCCACUCAGGUACUGGUGCACACCGGUGCCCAGCUGCAGACUUUUUUGUAGCUCACCACUGCACUGAUAACACUUCCCUCCUUCCCGUGGCUCCCCAGGCCCAGCCCGCUUCCCCCACCCUCCCCUCCCAUUUCAUUCUUGUCCUGCUUCAGCCUCUGGAGCAUGACGAGCCCCUUCCCUCUCCCGGGACCUGCUCAUUUGUUGUUUUCUCACCUGAAACGCUCUUCCCCUCGAGGACUCCUUAUCUUUUGCUUUUGGGCUCAUGUAUCAUUUCCUCAGAGCAUUCUCUGACCACCCCCAUUAAGGUAGGUCUCUCCCAGGGCAUGCCCCCUGCCCUCUUUCUUGUUCCUUUAUUUACUUGUGGGAUUUUUGGUGUGCUGCCCCCGGAGUCUGGAAGCUUCCUGAGAAGGGACCACAUGUGUCCCGCCCUCCACAGCUCAGGGGCUGACAGAAUGGCUGAAGCUUGUUCUUGGAUUACUAUUUGUGGGACAUUAGUGGGAGUGCUUGCUGCCUGGGUGGCCUGGUGA